rnacentral:rRNA from 1 species
AAAUUGAAGAGUUUGAUCAUGGCUCAGAUUGAACGCUGGCGGCAGGCCUAACACAUGCAAGUCGAACGGUAACAGGAAGAAGCUUGCUUCUUUGCUGACGAGUGGCGGACGGGUGAGUAAUGUCUGGGAAACUGCCUGAUGGAGGGGGAUAACUACUGGAAACGGUAGCUAAUACCGCAUAACGUCGCAAGACCAAAGAGGGGGACUUUCGGGCCUCUUGCCAUCGGAUGUGCCCAGAUGGGAUUAGCUUGUUGGUGGGGUAACGGCUCACCAAGGCGACGAUCCCUAGCUGGUCUGAGAGGAUGA